rnacentral:rRNA from 1 species
UACGUAGGGUGCAAGCGUUGUCCGGAAUUACUGGGCGUAAAGGGCUCGUAGGCGGCCAAUUAAGUCAGACGUGAAAUCCCUCGGCUUAACCGGGGAACUGCGUCUGAUACUGGAUGGCUUGAAUCCGGGAGAGGGAUGCGGAAUUCCAGGUGUAGCGGUGAAAUGCGUAGAUAUCUGGAGGAACACCGGUGGCGAAGGCGGCAUCCUGGACCGGCAUUGACGCUGAGGAGCGAAAGCCAGGGGAGCAAACGGG